AAAUUACAGAUUAAUAACAUUUAUUUUAACAAAAGGAAUCUCCCAUCCCAUUCUUUUCAAUGGGGAGAAAGCCCCACUCUCUGACGAAAAAGUUCAACAUAGCUCAACUUUAUUCAAAUGAAUCCGGCGGCCGCGCUGCAUUCAGCCAAUCAGGGAACAGCAGGCUGUGACACCACCUACAGUCUAGCCUCACACACACAGAACAGCCACCUUUUAACCACAGAAGAGAAGAUGAAAAUGGCAGAAUAUAGAUUUAAAGAACUACAGAUUACAGUGAGGUUGAAUAAAAUUCAAAAAUAUUAAACUUAUAAUUGACUUCUUCUGUUGGUUCAUUUGAAUUAAAAAACGUCACAGACACGCCCACACGCGGAGAGCCGAAAGAUCGGGCACAGUGACAUGAGUUGAAGAAAAGUGCCAGUGGAUGCAUACCUUUAUAAAAGAGACCAAAACUCCCAUAAAAACACACACAAACACUCCUGCGCUGCCACAAUACACUCCAGCCACAAAUAAAUGCUUGUGAACAUAACAGUGUUUAAAUAAAUAAUAAUCUACGGUAAAGGAGCCCUUAAACUUAAUUAAACAGUGAAACUGAAGAUUAUAUCUGUGUUCCAUUCGGUUUUAAAAUGUGUGUCACUUCUUAUUUACAGAAAAUUGUAAAAAAUAUAAAACUACUUUACUGGUCUGUAUAUUUACACCAAAGCCUGUGUUCAAUGAGUGUGUUUUUACACUAAAAGUGCAUAAAUUAACAUUCCCUUUAAAAACAAACUGUACAGUUAAGUAAAAAACUGAGGAUUCUUGUCAUUUAAAUUUAUAGAUUUUAACUGUGCUUUUACAGAAGAUUUGUUGAAACAGGUGUUUUUACUGUGAUUUUCAGGUAUAUUUUUUACAUAAAAUACAGCAAAAAACUUGUUUACGGUUAUUUUCUGUAAAAAAUAUAGGUUUUUUUUUUACAGUGUAAGCUACAAGGUCUAUAUGGUGAUAACUACAAAACUUUGUCACCUGUAGGUGGCAGUAAAGCAGUAAAAGACCCCUCCAACCUUAAAAACAUAAUGAAGGAGAGAGACCACUCAUUUCUUCUGAAGUGCACUUGAUUAGUUAAUAAGCUUUUCAUUUUACACCCACUGAAGCACUGAACUGUUUAACUGUAAGUCCUAAACCUCAUUACCGUGUUACUCAGUGCCUUUUUCUCUGAAAUAAAAAUAACACUUUGUAAAAGGUAUUUUACCUACAUUACGGAUUCAUAGGGAGUAGGGAGAAGGGACCAUGUUGUGAACUGGACGCGCCCCACAGACGUGCCCUAGCAGCGCGCGCAGAGGAGCGGCUUAUUGCUUGGUCUGAGGAUCAAGAAAGCUGUGGCGUUACAAGAAAGCACUUGUCCCAAAAGUCCUUCUCCAAACUGACUCUGUUGAGAAAACGGCACCAAACUGACUCUUUUGAGAAAACGGCACCAAACUAACUCUGUUGAGAAAACGGCACCAAACUGACUCUGUUGAGAAAACGGCACCAAACUGACUCUGUUGAGAAAACGGCACCAAACUAACUCUGUUGAGAAAACGGCACCAAACUAACUCUGUUGAGAAAACGGCACCAAACUGACUCUGUUGAGAAAACGGCACCAAACUAACUCUGUUGAGAAAACGGCACUAAACUAACUCUGUUGAGAAAACGGCACCAAACUGACUCUGUUGAGAAAACAGAACAAUUUGAGAUAAUAUUGUUGUAAAACCAUAACCAUUUGAGAUCAGACACUGUUGUGAAUACAAAACACCCUUUGAAGACAGACAUUUGUGAAAACUGAACCCCCUGAAAACGGAACCCUUUAAAAACACUGUUGUGACAAGAUAAUCCUUUGAACAGACCUUUUUCCUUAUUUAUCCUGUUAGUAUUUUCUUGUGAUUUGUUUCAGUUCUGGUGAUCUAAAGAAGCAGACUAUCUGAAGCUGAAGACCAUCUCCAUCUGGACCUUAUCUGCAUUUGAAGACUGUCAAACAUCCACAUCAUUACAUUUAGUUAAUUUCCUUGCCAUUUUAUUGCUUAUUCAUAAUUUUAAUCCAACUUUCAUUUAUUAAAGACUGCAUAUUGCUUGUGGAUUGGAUUCCUUCUGUUUUUGAAUUAUAUGUACACUUUAUUGUUAUAUUAAAUAUUGUGUGUGGAUACUAA